GACACCUACGGGGGGCAGCAGUGGGGAAUAUUGCACAAUGGGGGAAACCCUGAUGCAGCGACGCCGCGUGAGCGAAGAAGUAUUUCGGUAUGUAAAGCUCUAUCAGCAGGGAAGAAAAAUGACGGUACCUGAGUAAGAAGCACCGGCUAAAUACGUGCCAGCAGCCGCGGUAUUACGUAUGGUGCAAGCGUUAUCCGGAUUUACUGGGUGUAAAGGGAGCGCAGGCGGUGCGGCAAGUCUGAUGUGAAAGCCCGGGGCUCAACCCCGGGACUGCAUUGGAAACUACCGAACUGUAGGGUAGGAGG
rnacentral:rRNA from 1 species